AACGAACGCUGGCGGCAGGCCUAACACAUGCAAGUCGAACGAAGUCUUCGGACUUAGUGGCGCACGGGUGAGUAACACGUGGGAAUAUACCUUACGCUGGGGGAUAACAUCGGGAAACUGAUGCUAAUACCGCAUACGCCCUUCGGGGGAAAGAUUUAUCGGCGAAAGAUUAGCCCGCGUCCGAUUAGCUAGUUGGUGAGGUAAUGGCUCACCAAGGCUCCGAUCGGUAGCUGGUCUGAGAGGAUGACCAGCCACACUGAGACUGAGACACGGCCCAGACUCCUACGGGAGGCAGCAGUGGGGAAUAUUGGACAAUGGGCGCAAGCCUGAUCCAGCCAUGCCGCGUGAGUGAUGAAGGCCUUAGGGUUGUAAAGCUCUUUCACCCACGACGAUGAUGACGGUAGUGGGAGAAGAAGCCCCGGCUAACUUCGUG
rnacentral:rRNA from 1 species